CCUACGGGGGGCAGCAGUGGGGAAUAUUGGACAAUGGGGGCAACCCUGAUCCAGCCAUGCCGCGUGUGUGAAGAAGGCCCUCGGGUUGUAAAGCACUUUCAGUGAGGAAGAACGCCUGGUGGUUAAUACCCAUCAGGAAAGACAUCAUUCACAGAAGAAGCACCGGCUAACUCCGUGCCAGCAGCCGCGGUAAUACGGAGGGUGCGAGCGUUAAUCGGAAUUACUGGGCGUAAAGCGCGCGUAGGUGGCUUGAUAAGCCGGUUGUGAAAGCCCCGGGCUCAACCUGGGAACGGCAUCCGGAACUGUCAAGCUAGAGUGCAGGAGAGGAAGGUAGAAUUCCCGGUGUAGCGGUGAAAUGCGUAGAGAUCGGGAGGAAUACCAGUGGCGAAGGCGGCCUUCUGGACUGACACUGACACUGAGGUGCGAAAGCGUGGGUAGCAAACAGGAUUAGAUACCCCAGUAGUC
rnacentral:rRNA from 1 species